CAGAACCAAGAGAUCCGUUGUUAAAAGUUUUAAUUUAUUAAUUAAGUUUACUCAGACUGCAAAGUUACGCAAGAGUUUGAAGUGUCCACCCGGAGCCCCCGCCCGAAGGCAGGGUCGCCCCGGAGGCAACAGAGUCGGACAACAGAGGGUUAUGAAUAACCAGGCCGAAGCCCGGGCGUUCUUGUAAUGAUCCCU
rnacentral:misc_RNA from 1 species